CCCAUUUGCCUAAAAGAAAAGAAAGGGCUGCCGAGUUCGACGAAAGCUUCAGAAACGAAACAAGAAAAAAAACAGAGAAGGAAAGAAAGGGAGAAGAAGAAAGAGGCUAGAACCAAAUCUUGAGAAAUUUUAAAUACACACUGGUUUUUACGGGUAAUACUCGAAUUUCUCAUCUAAGUUCUUUUCUCCUGAUUUUUUUAUCUCAAUUCAUAUAUUUGAAAGGUUUCACAAGGUAUAAGAAAUUUAAUACCAAUUAGAGUUAUUCUGGGCAACUUAUGCAAUUGAAAGUUGGUCAAUGUUAUUGUAGGAUAAAUUCACUUGGAAAAAGAAGGGUAUUGAUGUAUUUGUACUUAAACUAGUCUGAUUAUAUAUGAUCUUUGUUAGGUGUAAAUUAAGUUAGGGUACAAGGAUUUGAGUUUUGGUGUUUAACUGUGUUGCAAUGACAAUAGUGAAUUUGGGUUUGAAUGUUAUGAGUCUAGUAUUAAGUACAAAAGAUAGGUACUAAUUAAGAAGGAAUAUUAUGGACAGUAAAGUUAUUUCAGUUUCAAUUUAUGCACACGAUUAAGGAAAUUGGACAGUAAAGGGAAUAAACCUUGUAAAUAUAUUUUUACUUAAAAGAUUUUGGACUAAUUUAAAUUACUCAUAGCAUGGGUAAAUAUAAUUCGACGAAUUGAUGAUAAAGUAUAAAACUCGGAGGAUUGGGGUAUUCUAAAAUAGCUAUGAAUUAGCUUAAAAAAGGAAAUUAACAUGAGAUCGAUAUUAUGUAAUUAUAGAUUGAUUGGAGGAAUUUGUACGAGUUGCUUGAGGUGAAGCAGUUGGUAUUUCGGCACGAGUACGGUGAGUAGUAAUCUUACCGCAAUUUGUGUUUUCAUAACUUGUAUGAUUUACACAUGAUUUUUAAUAUGAAUAUGUUACCGAUUAUUUUGAGUUGCAUGUGGGACAAAUCUUUUACUCGAUAUGAUACCGAAAUAGUUAUUUGAGGUGAAUACCGUGGUUUUAAAUAUUUUCGUUGUCACUAGAUCUGUUUGAUCGUUACUUGAAUUUACUGUUAUCGAAAGGAAAUUAUAUGAUUUGAUAAGAACCGAAAUGCCCUAUAUUGUUAUAAAAUAGUUUCUACGAGUAUAUACGGAUUACAAAGACGAGUAUAAAUGGGAGUAGAUAUUGAAGGAUCCCGUAGCUAACGGCGGGUUCGUUAGACCUGGUGCACCUUGUAAUUACCGAUUACCGUUAUAGCCCUCGCUAGUGGGAAGGGUUUUCACUCUUCCUCUCCUUCUCAAUAUCUGGGUUUUCUAGAUCAUAAGAUAUUGAUAAUUUCAUCCUCAGUUUUGGAUUCUUCAGCUGCUGUGUACGAGAAGGACGUGAUAUGUAAACCCUCUCAUUCUUGCACUCAUAAGUCCAGUGCCCUAACUGGAAACAUUUCUGACAUUGAGAAGCUGCAGCAAGGGUGGAACCUGAAGCCUUGAGGUCUUUCCUUUCACCCAAUCUCACCUGUUUCUCAGUACUCAUCAAAUACAUCUGCCUCUUUGCUUCUUUUCUUUCCUGCCAUCGACUGGGUCCUUCUUCCUUCUGGCCAUACGCAUUGACAUUUCUAGCAGCAGGAGCAGCGGCGCGCUCAGCCUGAGCACGACUCAAACCCUUUGCAGCUGACAAGGCUGCAACCUUAAUCCUUUCUGCUGCAUCCUGAGCACCACUUUCCUCAUUCUUAGAGGAUGCCAUGAUAUUGGCACUCAACAAAGAAGAGUCCCCUCUUCAAGUUAGCCUUAAUCUCUACCAGUACCCUGGGCAGAAAACUAGAGAACAGCACAAAGAGUUAAGGUUAGUGGAAAGAUAACCAAAAACCAGCCAAAAAAGUAAUCAAAGUAUAAUCUUUCAACCACAUUUUUUAAUACAAUUUUUACUCUUCCAAGUACAGUGCAUCCCCAAGUAAAAAUCAUUAGAUAAUGCCUCAAUCCUAAGCUAGUUGGUGCCAGCUAUAUAUUCCGUAGCAUCUACUCAGCCCCAUUUCAUUCCAAAAACCAAGAAAACCAAAGUCUUGUCGUGAUUCAAUUAUGGGUCUAAGUUAACAGAAAUACUAAUUACGGGAGAUACUGGUGUACUUCAAAAUCAAUCGAUGUUGAAUGCUUGCUUAGAUAUUCUAGUAGGUUAAUUAAUUAAUGUAAGGAUAUGCAUCCUAGUAUCCUACACAUCAACGGAAUAGAUAAUGUUCUAUUUCUGACGACCUUGUUCGUUUUUUUUCCUUUUUUUGUUCAGAAAACAGAUUACGAAAGCCCAAAAAGAAAGAUCGAUACAUGCGAAAUAGAUAAUAAUUGGAAAAUUAUAUCAUAAAAGAUCACAAAGAAGAAAAAUAUGAAUCUGAGCAGGCUUUCUCAAUCCAAUCAGACAAAGCAGAAAUCAUCCAAAAAUCAGCAUUAGAAAGGCACAAGGGUUUCUUGCCAUUCGCGAAAUCUGGGGGAGAGAGAUACUUAAAACUUGGUUUUGAUGGAGAGGAACGGAUGUUGCCACGCAAAAACAGCUUCAAGGAGUUGAGCGUCAAAAUUGCAAGGGUUAUAACUUACUUUGUCGACUUUUAUUUUACAACUUGUUUGACUUCAAAAAUUAACAUACGAAUAUUAUAUGAUUCAAUUACCUUAAAACACGACCUCCUUAGAAUAUUAAGUACUCCUAGUUUUACCUCGAAAGUAUGGGUUGUAGCAUCUUUGGUUCGUUUAACCUCCAGCCCUCAAAAUACUUCCUUACCACUUGUUUUAACCCAUCGUUAUCUUUGUAAAGGUCCUUAACCUCUCCGGCUCAUAUUCUAACAUGAAAGUACGGGGUGUAACAUGAAUUUUGAUAAAGCAGCUUUUUUUUUUGAUGAGUAAUAAGGAUUUUAUUAAUGCUCCAACCGAAAGAAAAUGAUAGAAUCUAGUUACAAAAGUGCGUUAACACUUCACAUCGUGUAAUGUACUCGGUGUAACUCGGCUUCAACAUCAUUCACAUUUGCCAAGUUACACCAAGAAGAAACAACUAAUUUUUACUCAUAAAAGUUGGUUUAAAGCCAUUAAAGCCCAUCCUCUGUUAAAUUUAAUACAGAAACUUUGUUUUAAUUUUUCCAAAUGUUAAGCGUAGUACUUUAUAGGUUCCUCAAUGAUUUCAGCUCAUGGAAAAGAUUAAGGAGGCAAACUUGGUAAACCAAUUCCUCUAGCACUGGUAAAGAUGGACUCAAGAAUACUCUGACUCUUGCAAGAUAUCAGGGUGUGGUUGAUUUGGAUUUUGAAACUGAUUCAGACACUUUUUCGUAUUCUGGUAGAAGACAAUUGAAUAGAAUUAACCAAUUAUAUAAGUAAAAAUUAGGUUAUUCGCUAAUAAGUGAUUGUCCUAAACGCUAGCAAAAAUAAGCUAAGCAAAACACAUAAAAACAACAUACUAAACAGAGCUUUAACAUCUUCAUCUCCAUGAAAACAUCAUCUUAAUGUUUUACUUCCUCCUCAAAUACAUGCAAAUACUAAAUUCAUGCUUCCUACAAAUUCUUUCAAAUUUUAGCGAUUUACUCGCAACAUUUCACUCGAUUGAUCCAGAAACCAAAAGGGUUUUUUUCAUCAAGACAGCCCAAUACCAAUUGCACUAAAAACAGGUUCAUGUUUAACAUUCCAUCGAACAGGUAGCAAGCACUGGUCAAUCCUAAACGAAAAUUACCAAAUUUGCAAGACUAACAAGACAUAUUUAAGGUCUGAAAAGGGUAAUGCUUCAUAUAUAACAAGUAACAUUAAAGCAAACCUGAAUCAGAUGUGUGUUUGGACCUAAGUUGCUCGGACUCGGGUGCGGGUGUCUGAUACGGGUGUUAAUUUAGAGGUUGGAUCCUUCAUGAUCUAAAUCUUAAGAUUCGGAGGUUACGGAUCCAGAUACGAAUACGGGUGUGGGUAUUCGGCUAAAAAUAAUUCAAAUAUCUAAAAGUAGAGUUAUAAAAAUAUGACUACAUUAUGAGAUAUUAUGAGGAAAACUAACAAGGUAUUCCGAGAAAGAGAGAUUAAUGAUCAAAAGGAGAAUCCAAGAAGAAAAUAAAAGGAAACUGACUGACACAGAAGUUUCUAUAUACAAGGUAUUCCAUUUUCUUCAAUUUCACCCUCGUUUUUGUUUUGAUUUCAAAAAUCAUUAUAUUUGUCCCGAAUUCUUCAGUCGAUUUUGGUCAAAGCACCCAUAAUCGGUUGACUAAAUCCGGUACGGAUCCCAUACCCACACCCAUGUCGUGUCGACACGGGUGUGACACCAAAAGUGAAGAGUCCGAGCAACCUAGAUUUGGACGACUCUUUAGGUUUUCCUUACUCAAAUUCAGCAGAGCAAAUAUAGAGAAGCAUUUUGUGUCUUUCUCUGAAUGUGUGGCACAAAUAUAAGAGAGAAGCAUUUGAGGGCUCUUCUUGGGCAGCGUCCAAUAAGUGAAACUCAAAUUUUAAGUAAUGAAUAAAUUGAGCGAAGUGCACAAAUAGCCGUUUUUAGGACCCCUUACUUAAAGAAUAGCUGAAAUUUACAAUGCAGGUCUGAAGUUGAAAUCCACAGGUCUAAAGUUUCCAAUUUCAGACCUACGGGUCUGAAAUUUGCCUCUGCCAAAGCCUUACAUCAAUGAUAUCAUUAAGGGU
rnacentral:lncRNA from 1 species